GAUGAACGCUGGCGGCGUGCCUAAUACAUGCAAGUCGAGCGAACGGAUGAGAAGCUUGCUUCUCUGAUGUUAGCGGCGGACGGGUGAGUAACACGUGGAUAACCUACCUAUAAGACUGGGAUAACUUCGGGAAACCGGCGCUAAUACCGGAUAAUAUUUUGAACCGCAUGGUUCAAAAGUGAAAGACGGUCUUGCUGUCACUUAUAGAUGGAUCCGCGCUGCAUUAGCUAGUUGGUAAGGUAACGGCUUACCAAGGCAACGAUGCAUAGCCGACCUGAGAGGGUGAUCGGCCACACUGGAACUGAGACACGGUCCAGACUCCUACGGGAGGCAGCAGUAGGGAAUCGUCCGCAAUGGGCGAAAGCCUGACGGAGCAACGCCGAGUGAGUGAUGAAGGUCUUCGGAUCGUAAAACUCUGUUAUUAGGGAAGAACAUAUGUGUAAGUAACUGUGCACAUCUUGACGGUACCUAAUCAGAAAGCCACGGCUAACUACGUG
rnacentral:rRNA from 1 species